rnacentral:tRNA from 1 species
GCGACACUAGCUCAGUUGGUAGAGCGCAACCUUGCCAAGGUUGAGGUCACGAGUUCGAACAUCGUGUGUCGCUCCA